rnacentral:rRNA from 1 species
GAUGAACGCUGGCGGCGUGCUUAACACAUGCAAGUCGAACGAAGCACUUUAUUUGAUUUCCUCCGGGACUGAUUAUUUUGUGACUGAGUGGCGGACGGGUGAGUAACGCGUGGGUAACCUGCCUUGUACAGGGGGAUAACAGUUGGAAAUGGCUGCUAAUACCGCAUAAGCGCACAGCAUCGCAUGAUGCAGUGUGAAAAACUCCGGUGGUAUAAGAUGGACCCGCGUUGGAUUAGCUAGUUGGUGAGGUAACGGCCCACCAAGGCGACGAUCCAUAGCCGACCAGAGAGGGUGACCGGCCACAUUGGGACUGAGACACGGCCCAAACUCCUACGGGAGGCAGCAGUGGGGAAUAUUGCACAAUGGGCGAAAGCCUGAUGCAGCGACGCCGCGUGAGCGAAGAAGUAUUUCGGUAUGUAAAGCUCUAUCAGCAGGGAAGAUAAUGACGGUACCUGACUAAGAAGCACCGGCUAAAUACG